CUGGUUGAUCCUGCCAGUAGUCAUAUGCUUGUUUCAAGGAUUAAGCCAUGCAUGCCUCCGAGUAACUGGAUUGAUAAGAGGUCUGCGAACGGCUCAUUAGAUCAGCAAUGAUCCAAGGGGCGAAGUGGGGUUCAAAAGCCUUGCCAAUCGGAUAACUUUUGGUAACUCCAAAGCUAAUACGUGUAAGAAGAAUGUCUGCUCGUUAAGCCUGGAAGGGUCACCUGAAGGGCUGGGCAGGCAUGCGCUUGGCCGAAUUGAAGACCAGCCCGCCGCAAGGCGGAGUCCGGUGCUGAGUCAGGCCAUGAACGCGAUAGCGCAUUAAGCCUAGUGCAGGCGCAAUGCCCCAGGGAUUGCUGCCCUAUCAUGCUCACGAAGGUAGGGUCGUGGCCUACCUUGGCUGUCACGGGUAACGGGGAAUUAGGGUUCGAUUUCGGAGAGGGAGCCUGAGACACGGCUACCAGUUCCAUGGAAGGCAGCAGGCGCGCAAAUUGCCCAAUGUCGAGACAUUCGGCGAGGCAGCGACGAGAAAUAGCAACCCUGCUCGCCUUGUGCGCGUGGGGAUUGCAAUGACGUGUAUUUAGACCGACUCGUGAUUAUCAAUUGGAGGGCAAGUCUGGUGCCAGCAGCCGCGGUAAUUCCAGCUCCAAUAGCGUAUAUUAACGUUGUUGCUGUUAAAAAGCUCGUAGUUGGAUUCAGAGCCAGGCGGUUGCAUAAGGGCCGGUGACCCCGCAGGUGACUUUCUUGUGUGGGAAGCUUGGUAUACAACCUUAUGCGAUAACCCCUGGCUUUAUUACGGGGACAAGGGCCGAGAAGGUGGCCUUCAUUGGUUUGCUCUUCUCAACACCGCGCCGAACACGCGCAUCAGGCCCGUUCCCGGAUGUUACUGUGAACAAAACAGCGUGUUCAAGGCAGCCGGCCCGUCCGGUUGAAUGUCCAAGCAUGGAAUAACAAGGGAUCGACCAUUCUAGCGGUCUUUUGUUGGUCAUCGCCCUAGUUUGGGUAAUAUGGACAGGAGGGGCAUGUCUGGCUCUGGUCCCCUUUAUGGAGGUAUCAUCCAGCGUGUUCACCUGCUCCGCUCGGGAUCAAUAGGGGCUACCCGGGGAGAUACGUACUGUCCGGUCAGAGGUGAAAUUCUUAGACCCGGGCAAGACGAACUUCUGCGAAGGCAUUUCUCAAGCGUGCCUUCAUUAAUCAAGAACGAGAGUGUGGGGAUCGAAGAUGAUCAGAUACCGUCGUAGUCCACACUGUAAACGAUGCCGACUCGGGAUUGGGGGUGACAUCUCUUUGGAUCUCCCAGUACCAUCCCCUGAAUCGAGAAAUCAAAGUUUUUGGGCUCAGGGGGGAGUACAUUCGCAAGGCUGAAACUUGAAGGAAUUGACGGAAUGACACCACAAGGCGUGGAGUGUGCGGCUUAAUUUGACCCAACACGGGAAACCUUACCAGGUCAGGACAAUGUGAGGAUUGACAGAUUGAUAGCUCUUUCAAGAUUCGUUGGAUGGUGGUGCAUGGCCGUUGCUGGUUGGUGGGGUGACCUGUCUGGUUGAUUCCGUUAACGAACGAGAUCUCCACCACUAAAUAGGUGCUGGCCUCGUUGUAGUAGGUCGUUCGCCUCAGGUUCGCUUGGGUGUCUGAAUGGCCGAGAGAGCCAGAAUACUUCUUAGUGGGACUAUG
rnacentral:rRNA from 1 species